rnacentral:misc_RNA from 1 species
UCCGGUUUGUCACCGGCAGUCUCCCUAGAGUUCCCGCCAUUACGCGCUGGCAACUAGGGACAAGGGUUGCGCUCGUUGCGGGACUUAACCCAACAUCUCACGACACGAGCUGACGACAGCCAUGCAGCACCUGUGCACGGACUCCGAAGAGGGGCCGAUGUUUCCACCGGCUUUCCCGUGCAUGUCAAGCCCAGGUAAGGUGGGGAUGACGUGGCUGUACCAUAGA